CAGUAGCUCAGCUGGAUAGAGCAACAGAUUCCUAAUCUGUAGGUCACAGGUUCGAAUCCCGUCUGG
rnacentral:tRNA from 1 species